UACGUAGGGUCCGAGCGUUGUCCGGAAUUACUGAGCGUAAAGAGCUCGUAGGUGGUUUGUCGCGUUGUUCGUGAAAACUCACAGCUCAACUGUGGGCGUGCGGGCGAUACGGGCAGACUAGAGUACUGCAGGGGAGACUGGAAUUCCUGGUGUAGCGGUGGAAUGCGCAGAUAUCAGGAGGAACACCGGUGGCGAAGGCGGGUCUCUGGGCAGUAACUGACGCUGAGGAGCGAAAGCGUGGGGAGCGAACAGG
rnacentral:rRNA from 1 species